rnacentral:rRNA from 1 species
AGUGAACGCUGGCGGUAGGCCUGACACAUGCAAGUCGAACGGCAGCACAGUAAGAGCUUGCUCUUACGGGUGGCGAGUGGCGGACGGGUGAGGAAUACAUCGGAAUCUACUUUUUCGUGGGGGAUAACGUAGGGAAACUUACGCUAAUACCGCAUACGACCUACGGGUGAAAGCAGGGGAUCUUCGGACCUUGCGUGAUUGAAUGAGCCGAUGUCGGAUUAGCUAGUUGGCGGGGUAAAGGCCCACCAAGGCGACGAUCCGUAGCUGGUCUGAGAGGAUGAUCAGCCACACUGGAACUGAGACACGGUCCAGACUCCUACGGGAGGCAGCAGUGGGGAAUAUUGGACAAAGGGCGCAAGCCUGAUCCAGCCAUACCGCGUGGGUGAAGAAGGCCUUCGGGUUGUAAAGCCCUUUUGUUGGGAAAGAAAAGCAGCAGGUUAAUACCCCGCUGCUCUGACGGUACCCAAAGAAUAAGCACCGGCUAACUUCGUG